AUCAAGUGACCUUUAUAAGAACCAUCAAGUAAAAUCUCGACAUAGCUCCCUUUACAUUAUUCUCACAAAUGCCUGACAAUAAUCAACUCAAAGUAGUUUGAGUGACAUCUACCUUGUGAGCUACGUGUACAGUAAACAUACGUUUUGACUGAUUUGAAAGUUGGAAUAGACAUUCAUCUCCAGGUUUCAGGCCAUAAACUGCAGCAAAUAAUGCCCAGUUUCCUGCCAAGAUCUUAGAACCGAAAUUCUCAUGAUAGAUGAUAGGCCAG
rnacentral:misc_RNA from 1 species